UUCCUGUUAUGAUAAAGAAGAAUUAUUUUUGUUCGACGUUGGUCUACGAUUUCAUCUCGACCGUUUUCAAGAAUUGAGCAAGGAUAGUAAUACAAUGUGUACACAACUGUACACGAGGAGGAAACAAACAUGGAACAAGGUAAAGUAAAAUGGUUUAACGCAGAAAAAGGUUAUGGCUUCAUCGAACGUGAAGAUGGCGACGAUGUAUUCGUACACUUCUCCGCUAUCCAAGGCGACGGGUUCAAAACUCUUGAAGAAGGUCAAGACGUGUCUUUCGAAAUCGAACAAGGACAACGCGGACUUCAAGCAACUAACGUUACUAAAAACUAAUUUAACUUCACAAACCACUUCCUUUUAGGGAGUGGUUUUUU
rnacentral:sRNA from 1 species